GGGGGCCCGCAAGCGGUGGAGCAUGUGGUUUAAUUCGAUGCAACGCGAAGAACCUUACCUACUCUUGACAUCCAGAGAACUUAGCAGAGAUGCUUUGGUGCCUUCGGGAACUCUGAGACAGGUGCUGCAUGGCUGUCGUCAGCUCGUGUUGUGAAAUGUUGGGUUGAGUCCCGCAACGAGCGCAACCCUUAUCCUUUGUUGCCAUCGGUUCGGCCGGGAACUCAAAGGAGACUGCCAGUGAUAAACUGGAGGAAGGUGGGGAUGACGUCAAGUCAUCAUGGCCCUUACGAGUAGGGCUACACACGUGCUACAAUGGCGUAUACAAAGAGAAGCGACCUCGCGAGAGCAAGCGGACCUCAUAAAGUACGUCGUAGUCCGGAUUGGAGUCUGCAACUCGACUCCAUGAAGUCGGAAUCGCUAGUAAUCGUAGAUCAGAAUGCUACGGUGAAUACGUUCCCGGGCCUUGUACACACC
rnacentral:rRNA from 1 species